CCCGGAAGUCAUCACUGAAAUUACAACAAGAAAUAUGAAGUAAUUAGUAUUUUUUUUCCAUGGACAUAUGACCGCCGGCCAGUUGCCUUUGUGCUCAUGCCGGUGUUGUACCAAUGAAUUGACUCCAUCACUGUAGCGACCUGGAAGAACAUCAACUGUUUGUGGAGUUGGGAAUUUCUUCUCCGAGGAGAGAAAUGUUUAGUACGUCUCCAAAUCACUCCACUGUCCUGCCGGACAAAGAUGAGUUUAAUAUGGCCCGUCGACACAGAGAAGGCCUGCUGUCACAUACCGCUUAUUGGGCUGUAACAUUAGUCUCAUUCCAACACCACAUAUCCAACAAAGAAGCUUAUACCAAAGAGAAAGCUACAAAUUGGAUGAUUGAUCCCUAUGAAAUUGAUGUUACACAUAUUUUAUUUCAAAAAGGGGAUUACCCGGGCCUCUGCAUCAAAUGAUGCACACAUUCAUAUUAAAGGGCAGCCCCAGUGCAUGUAGCUCCCACUUGCGCAGGGUCUGAGGAAGGGUCCGACCACUUUGGGUCUAUUGUACGCAGCCUUUCCCUACAUUUCUGUAAGAGGCUGUUUCCAGGACUUGAACCCGUGACCUCAUGGUCACAAGGCAACAGCUUUACCACUGCGCCAAGGCUCCCCUUCAUGCACACAUUCAUAUUAUUAAACAUAAAUCAAGUUCCAAACACGGAGUUCCAGACUUAUUUCAUCAAGUAGUUUUCUUGUAUUUAAACUCAAUUCCUUCAAUUUCUCUGAGCCGUGAGCUUAUAUUAGCGGUGAGCUCAUCUACAUUCUGCGUUGUGAACUCAUUUAGUUUUAUCUAUGAACUCAUUAGGUGAACUCAUCACGGUUUUUUGGCAGAUGUGAACUUAUUUCAUAUUCAUCUAUGAAUCAUUGUUGAAGUGUCUGUAUAUCUCUCCCAUGCCAAUGUACAGAAAUUUGAGGUCUACAUACUUUUGCCACUUCUACCUACAAUUCCAUUGCUGUCUUUGUAUAAGCUAUAGCAAGUGCAACAAAACAGAUUGCAACAAGUAGCUUAUGAACUGAAAUUUGUGGUAUUAUUCAUUUGUUGUAUUGUCGCUCAGUUCAUCGUGGUUGUGAAGCUAAACGUGACAUGCUAUUCUUGACGUAAUUUCCAAAUUGCAAUCCAUAAUCAAGCAAAAGACUACAAUAAAUGUGACUUACAUGUUGCUUGCAUUCAACACCUUCAGGACCUGCACACGCAUCCAUCUCCUCCUCCGGCCGUUGCUGCCAUUAAGCCACUUGCUCAGGACCUGCACAAGGCAUCCACCUUCUCUUCAGCACCAGUCUCGCCACUAGAAUGCUUCUCCAGCAGGGGAGGGCGAUCUGCGCCGAUGCGCGCAGGGGAGGGCAAGCACCCGCGGAGAGCUGCGCUGUC
rnacentral:lncRNA from 1 species